rnacentral:rRNA from 1 species
UUUGCUGGCGACCGGCGCACGGGUGAGUAACACGUAUCCAACCUGCCCUUUACUCGGGGAUAGCCUUUCGAAAGAAAGAUUAAUACCCGAUAGCAUAAUGAUUCCGCAUGGUUUCAUUAUUAAAGGAUUCCGGUAAAGGAUGGGGAUGCGUUCCAUUAGGUUGUUGGUGAGGUAACGGCUCACCAAGCCUUCGAUGGAUAGGGGUUCUGAGAGGAAGGUCCCCCACAUUGGAACUGAGACACGGUCCAA